AGGGAAAAGGAGUAUUAGCCCAAGUAUUCUUCCUAUCAUAAUAGAUUCUCUGCAGCUAAGAUCGCAAAAACGCAUUAACGCCCAUAAGGUGGCAGAGGCGCUCGGGGAUCAAUUAAAACGAAUGCCAAUGCAUGCAAAACGCGCAGCAGUCAAGGCAGAAGCCAGACUAAUAGGCACACCUAGUCGGGCACCAAAGAAGGCUAAUAUUG